UACAGAGGUCUCAAGCGUUGUUCGGAUUCAUUGGGCGUAAAGGGUGCGUAGGUGGCGAGGUAAGUUGAUGUGAAAUCCGUGGGCUCAACCCUAGAACUGCAUUCAAUACUGCCUUGCUAGAGUACUGGAGAGGAGAUUGGAAUUUACGGUGUAGCAGUGAAAAUGCGUAGAUAUCGUAAGGAAGACCAGUGGCGAAGGCGGAUCUCUGG
rnacentral:rRNA from 1 species